rnacentral:rRNA from 1 species
CAGCCGUAAACUAUGCGCGUUAGGUGUAUCGGUGACCACGAGUCACCGAGGUGCCGAAGGGAAACCGUGAAACGUGCCGCCUGGGAAGCACGGUCGCAAGGCUGAAACUUAAAGGAAUUGGCGGGGGAGCACAACAACGGGUGGAGCCUGCGGUUUAAUUGGACUCAACGCCGGGAAGCUCACCGGAUAAGACAGCGGAAUGAUUGCCGGGCUGAAGACUCUGCAUGACUAGCUGAGAGGAGGUGCAUGGCGUAGACGUCU